rnacentral:rRNA from 1 species
UACGUAGGCAGCAAGCGUUGUUCGGAAUUACUGGGCGUAAAGAGUGUGUAGGCGGUGUUCUAAGUUUGUCGUGAAAUCUCCCGGCUUAACUGGGAGGGUGCGGCGAAAACUGGAAUGCUAGAGGAUGGGAGAGGUAAGCGGAAGUUCCUGGUGUAGCGGUGAAAUGCGUAGAUAUCAGGAGGAACACCUGUGGUGUAGACAGCUUACUGGACCAUUUCUGACGCUGAGACACGAAAGCGUGGGUAGCAAACAGG